rnacentral:rRNA from 1 species
CGAAUAGGGGAGCCGAAGGGAAACCGAGUCUUAACUGGGCGUUAAGUUGCAGGGUAUAGACCCGAAACCCGGUGAUCUAGCCAUGGGCAGGUUGAAGGUUGGGUAACACUAACUGGAGGACCGAACCGACUAAUGUUGAAAAAUUAGCGGAUGACUUGUGGCUGGGGGUGAAAGGCCAAUCAAACCGGGAGAUAGCUGGUUCUCCCCGAAAGCUAUUUAGGUAGCGCCUCGUGAAUUCAUCUCCGGGGGUAGAGCACUGUUUCGGCAAGGGGGUCAUCCCGACUUACCAACCCGAUGCAAACUGCGAAUACCGGAGAAUGUUAUCACGGGAGACACACGGCGGGUGCUAACGUCCGUCGUGAAGAGGGAAACAACCCAGACCGCCAGCUAAGGUCCCAAAGUCAUGGUUAAGUGGGAAACGAUGUGGGAAGGCCCAGACAGCCAGGAUGUUGGCUUAGAAGCAGCCAUCAUUUAAAGAAAGCGUAAUAGCUCACUGGUCGAGUCGGCCUGCGCGGAAGAUGUAACGGGGCUAAACCAUGCACCGAAGCUGCGGCAGCGACACUAUGUGUUGUUGGGUAGGGGAGCGUUCUGUAAGCCUGUGAAGGUGUACUGUGAGGUAUGCUGGAGGUAUCAGAAGUGCGAAUGCUGACAUAAGUAACGAUAAAGCGGGUGAAAAGCCCGCUCGCCGGAAGACCAAGGGUUCCUGUCCAACGUUAAUCGGGGCAGGGUGAGUCGACCCCUAAGGCGAGGCCGAAAGGCGUAGUCGAUGGGAAACAGGUUAAUAUUCCUGUACUUGGUGUUACUGCGAAGGGGGGACGGAGAAGGCUAUGUUGGCCGGGCGACGGUUGUCCCGGUUUAAGCGUGUAGGCUGGUUUUCCAGGCAAAUCCGGAAAAUCAAGGCUGAGGCGUGAUGACGAGGCACUACGGUGCUGAAGCAACAAAUGCCCUGCUUCCAGGAAAAGCCUCUAAGCAUCAGGUAACAUCAAAUCGUACCCCAAACCGACACAGGUGGUCAGGUAGAGAAUACCAAGGCGCUUGAGAGAACUCGGGUGAAGGAACUAGGCAAAAUGGUGCCGUAACUUCGGGAGAAGGCACGCUGAUAUGUAGGUGAAGCGACUUGCUCGUGGAGCUGAAAUCAGUCGAAGAUACCAGCUGGCUGCAACUGUUUAUUAAAAACACAGCACUGUGCAAACACGAAAGUGGACGUAUACGGUGUGACGCCUGCCCGGUGCCGGAAGGUUAAUUGAUGGGGUUAGCGCAAGCGAAGCUCUUGAUCGAAGCCCCGGUAAACGGCGGCCGUAACUAUAACGGUCCUAAGGUAGCGAAAUUCCUUGUCGGGUAAGUUCCGACCUGCACGAAUGGCGUAAUGAUGGCCAGGCUGUCUCCACCCGAGACUCAGUGAAAUUGAACUCGCUGUGAAGAUGCAGUGUACCCGCGGCAAGACGGAAAGACCCCGUGAACCUUUACUAUAGCUUGACACUGAACAUUGAGCCUUGAUGUGUAGGAUAGGUGGGAGGCUUUGAAGUGUGGACGCCAGUCUGCAUGGAGCCGACCUUGAAAUACCACCCUUUAAUGUUUGAUGUUCUAACGUUGACCCGUAAUCCGGGUUGCGGACAGUGUCUGGUGGGUAGUUUGACUGGGGCGGUCUCCUCCUAAAGAGUAACGGAGGAGCACGAAGGUUGGCUAAUCCUGGUCGGACAUCAGGAGGUUAGUGCAAUGGCAUAAGCCAGCUUGACUGCGAGCGUGACGGCGCGAGCAGGUGCGAAAGCAGGUCAUAGUGAUCCGGUGGUUCUGAAUGGAAGGGCCAUCGCUCAACGGAUAAAAGGUACUCCGGGGAUAACAGGCUGAUACCGCCCAAGAGUUCAUAUCGACGGCGGUGUUUGGCACCUCGAUGUCGGCUCAUCACAUCCUGGGGCUGAAGUAGGUCCCAAGGGUAUGGCUGUUCGCCAUUUAAAGUGGUACGCGAGCUGGGUUUAGAACGUCGUGAGACAGUUCGGUCCCUAUCUGCCGUGGGCGCUGGAGAACUGAGGGGGGCUGCUCCUAGUACGAGAGGACCGGAGUGGACGCAUCACUGGUGUUCGGGUUGUCAUGCCAAUGGCACUGCCCGGUAGCUAAAUGCGGAAGAGAUAAGUGCUGAAAGCAUCUAAGCACGAAACUUGCCCCGAGAUGAGUUCUCCCUGACCCUUUAAGGGUCCUGAAGGAACGUUGAAGACGACGACGUUGAUAGGCCGGGUGUGUAAGCGCAGCGAUGCGUUGAGCUAACCGGUACUAAUGAACCGUGAGGCUUAACCUUACAACGCCGAAG